UGCCCCACAGUUCCCCGUCCGGGAACAAGGAGCUGGUAUCAGGCACACUAUCAAGCCCAUGACGCAUUGCUARGCCACASCCUCAAGGGAACUCAGCAGUGAUAAACAUUAAGCCAUAAGUGAAAACUUGACUUAGUUAARGCUAAGAGGGCCGGUAAAACUCGUGCCAGCCACCGCGGUUAUACGAGAGGCCCAAGUUGAUGACCGCCGGCGUAAAGCGUGGUUAAGUAAAAAUCUCACACUAAAGUCAAACGUCUUCAAGACUGUUAUACGUAGCCGAAGACAGGAAGUACAACCACGAAAGUGRCUUUAUAGAAUCUGAACCCACGAAAGCUAAGGAACAAACUGGGAUUAGAUACCCCACUAUGCCUAGCCCUAAACAUUGAUAGUAUUACACACCCACUAUCCGCCCGGGAACUACGAGCAAUAGCUUAAAACCCAAAGGACUUGGCGGUGCUUUAGAUCCACCUAGAGGAGCCUGUUCUAGAACCGAUAACCCCCGUUCAACCUCACCCUUCCUUGUUUAUCCCGCCUAUAUACCGCCGUCGUCAGCUUACCCUGUGAGGGACUAAUAGUAAGCAAAACUGGUAUAACCUUGAACGUCAGGUCGAGGUGUAGCGUAUGGAGGGGGAAAGAAAUGGGCUACAUUUCGCUAUCACAGCGAAACACGAAAAGUGCACCUGAAACGUGCAUCUGAAGGAGGAUUUAGCAGUAAGYRG
rnacentral:rRNA from 1 species